UACAGAGGUGGCAAGCGUUGUUCGGAAUUACUGGGCGUAAAGGGCGCGUAGGCGGCCUUCUAAGUCAGACGUGAAAUCCCCAGGCUUAACUUGGGAACUGCGUCUGAUACUGGGAGGCUUGAGUGCGGGAGAGGGAUGUGGAAUUCCAGGUGUAGCGGUGAAAUGCGUAGAUAUCUGGAGGAACACCGGUGGCGAAGGCGGCAUCCUGGACCGACACUGACGCUGAGGCGCGACAGCGUGGGGAGCAAACAGG
rnacentral:rRNA from 1 species